GAAUUUUAAAUUUAUGCGAAUUAAAAGUUAUAACGCUUUUCGGUUUUUGUUUGGUAACGGAUAAAAUUGCAUACCGACAACAAACUUAUAGAGGAAGAUCAAAGAGCUGGAGACUUUUUAAGAGAAUUACCUUCUUACAAUAAAGAAAAUUUCACAAAGUUCUCUGCUGAUAGCCAUAU